UAGUAACGGCGAGUGAAGAGGGAAAAGCUCAAAUUUUGAAUCUGGUGUCUUUGGCGCCCGAGUUGUAAUCUAGAGAAGUGUUUUCUGCCUCGGACCACACAUAAAUUCCCUGGAAUGGGGUGUCAUAGAGGGUGAGAAUCCCGUUUGUGGUGUGGACUACCUUGGCUCUGUGAUACACUCUCAACGAGUCGAGUUGUUUGGGAAUGCAGCUCAAAAUGGGUGGUAAAUUCCAUCUAAAGCUAAAUAUUGGCGGGAGACCGAUAGCGAACAAGUACCGUGAGGGAAAGAUGAAAAGCACUUUGGAAAGAGAGUGAAACAGUACGUGAAAUUGUUGAAAGGGAAGCGUUUGAAGUCAGUCACAUCGGUUGGAAUUCAGCCUGGCUUUGCCUGGUGUACUUUCUGGCAGAUGGGUCAGCGUCAAUUUUGACUGAGGGAAAAAGACUUGAGGAAUGUGGCUGUCUUUGGGCAGUGUUAUAGCCUCUUGUUGUAUGUCUCAGUUGGGAUUGAGGACCGCAGCACGCCUUAUGGCCGGGGUUCGCGCCCUCGGAACGUGCUUAGGA
rnacentral:rRNA from 1 species